rnacentral:rRNA from 1 species
UGGGGAAUAUUGCACAAUGGGCGAAAGCCUGAUGCAGCAACGCCGCGUGAAGGAAGAAGGCCUUCGGGUCGUAAACUUCUGUCCUUGGGGAAGAAAAAAAUGACGGUACCCAUGGAGGAAGCCCCGGCUAACUACGUGCCAGCAGCCGCGGUAAUACGUAGGGGGCAAGCGUUAUCCGGAAUUAUUGGGCGUAAAGAGUGCGUAGGUGGCAACUUAAGUCCAGGGUUUAAGGCAAUGGCUCAACCAUUGUAAGCCCUGGAAACUGGGUUGCUUGAGUGCAGGAGAGGAAAGCGGAAUUCCUAGUGUAGCGGUGAAAUGCGUAGAUAUUAGGAGGAACACCAGUGGCGAAGGCGGCUUUCUGGACUGUAACUGACACUGAGGCACGAAAGCGUGGGGAGCAAACA